GACGAACGCUGGCGGCGUGCCUAAUACAUGCAAGUAGAACGCUGAAGAGAGGAGCUUGCUCUUCUUGGAUGAGUUGCGAACGGGUGAGUAACGCGUAGGUAACCUGCCUUGUAGCGGGGGAUAACUAUUGGAAACGAUAGCUAAUACCGCAUAACAAUGGAUGACACAUGUCAUUUAUUUGAAAGGGGCAAUUGCUCCACUACAAGAUGGACCUGCGUUGUAUUAGCUAGUAGGUGAGGUAAUGGCUCACCUAGGCGACGAUACAUAGCCGACCUGAGAGGGUGAUCGGCCACCCUGGGACUGAGACACGGCCCAGACUCCUACGGGAGGCAGCAGCAGGGAAUCUUCGGCAAUGGGGGCAACCCUGACCGAGCAACGCCGCGUGAGUGAAGAAGGUUUUCGGAUCGUAAAGCUCUGUUGUAAGUCAAGAACGGGUGUGAGAGUGGAAAGUUCACACUGUGACGGUAGCUUACCAGAAAGGGACGGCUAACUACGUG
rnacentral:rRNA from 1 species